rnacentral:rRNA from 1 species
GACGAACCGUGCGAACGUUGUUCGGAAUCACUGGGCUUAAAGGGCGCGUAGGCGGACUGCCAAGUCCGGGGUGAAAUCCUCCGGCUUAACCGGAGAAUUGCCUGGGAUACUGGCGGUCUUGAGGGAGGUAGGGGCACGCGGAACUUCCGGUGGAGCGGUGAAAUGCGCAGAUAUCAGGAGGAACACCGAUGGCGAAGGCAGUGGGCUGGGCCGGCACUGACGCUGAGGAGCGAAAGCGUGGGGAGCGAACAGG